UGUUUCAAUCAGUAUGUCGCAUAGUUUUUUCAUAUGUGCUUUGCUGCGAAAAAUCAACGCAUCAUUUAAUUUAUUUCUCAGUUUACAUCAGCAAAUGACCCUCUACUUGGCGUCAAAUAAUGAAUGCACGUGAUCUAGGACUAUUUGCUUUGGUGCUUAAUGGAUCGCAUCAUGCAUCCUAUUUAAACUGCAAUGCUUUACAUCUAAUGUUAUUUUUUGAGUCAUGGAACAGUGGCGGUCUUGAAGCGGUGGUGCCUUUCUAUACCAAGACUGGAUACAAAAUAAGGUUGAUUUUUGUUUGCUCUGACGAUAGGGAGGCAAGACCAGGAUCACAUUCUUGGCCCCGUUUGAAGGAACGACGAUUUUCAGGAUUGACGUGGAUUGAUUUUCUUGAACAUGAAGUUAACUACAUGUGAAGCUGAAGCUAAGCCAAUGUGCUUUUCCAGAAGAAGGCCAAGGCACAUCAAUCCAACACCAACCCACCUGCUAUGGAACUAAGGGAGGAAGGAAAAAGAACAUUGCCCCUGAAGGCUCGAGACGCACAAACAGGAAGCUGAGUUCGGGAAAGGUGGUUGUCUCCUUGACGCACACCAUAGUGCCCAUCUUUUCUAUUCUAAUGUCUUGUUCCUUGGACAGACACCUUGUGCUUUGUGCAGACCAUCAAUGCCUUUUCCUCCUGUUCGGCCAGGAGAUGAAUGCUUUCUAAACAUUGGUAAUAACAAUGAGAUCAGAGAGUACUGCUCUAUUCAUUGCUCUUCUAAAUCUUGUGAGUGCAAGGCAUGCAAAGUGUUAACUGAAACCCCAUGGCCUACUCGCCAUCGUCAACUUCCUCUUUGCGCUUGCCGUCAACGCUCCCAUGGGCGGAGCCACAAGGGGAUGGAUGUACAUAUGUACACCCGUUAAUCUAGAAUAACCUGGCUUCGCCAAUGAACACCCCCAUCAUCGUAUUCCAUGCCAUGUUCAACGUUCAUCACAACCUUUAGCCUGCAUCUGACAAGGGAUGAGGGGACGAGGACAAGAAGGCCACGGGUAUCAUGGUGGAGAAGGAGGACAACAAUGACAUUGAGGAAGGGCAGACAUGCCGCUCCAUGGCAACUACGAUGACCAGUUCCUUACUCACAAUACUGGAGAUCUUCAUACAACCCCAUAUGCAACAACACAAUUUCCAUUACUUAGCAUGCAUCAUAAUGAAUCAAAUUAGUAUCUCUUUCCUUAUUUUUGGCUAGGAUGGAUUUCCGUUUCUUGUGUAUAUACAGAUUUACUACUACUGCUACAUUGUUACUCCAUUAUACUAAGAGAUUGGGACCUGGUCUGAUCCUUCCUAUAUGUAGUUGUAUUUGUCAUGACAGAUAGAGAUACCCUAUGGCA